rnacentral:tRNA from 1 species
GGUUCCGUAGCUCAGUGGUAGAGCAUUUGACUGUAGAUCAAGAGGUCACUAGUUUGAACUUGGUAGAGCCU